rnacentral:rRNA from 1 species
UGCGUAGGGUGCAAGCGUUGUCCGGAAUUAUUGGGCGUAAAGAGCUCGUAGGCGGUUUGUCGCGUCUGCUGUGAAAACUCGGGGCUCAACUCCGAGCUUGCAGUGGGUACGGGCAGACUAGAGUGCGGUAGGGGAGACUGGAAUUCCUGGUGUAGCGGUGGAAUGCGCAGAUAUCAGGAGGAACACCGGUGGCGAAGGCGGGUCUCUGGGCCGUAACUGACGCUGAGGAGCGAAAGCAUGGGGAGCGAACAGG